rnacentral:rRNA from 1 species
GACGAACGCUGGCGGCGUGCUUAACACAUGCAAGUCGAACGGAAAGGCCCUGCUUUUGUGGGGUGCUCGAGUGGCGAACGGGUGAGUAACACGUGAGUAACCUGUCCUUGACUUUGGGAUAACUUCAGGAAACUGGGGCUAAUACCGGCUAGGAGCUCCCGCUGCAUGGUGGGGGUUGGAAAGUUUCGGCGGUUGGGGAUUGACUCGCGGCUUAUCAGCUUGUUGGUGGGGUAGUGGCUUACCAAGGCUUUGACGGGUAGCCGGCCUGAGGGGGUGACCGGCCCCAUUGGGACUGCGUUACGACCCAGACUCCUAGGGGAGGCAGCAGUGGGAAGUAUUGCACAAUGGGCGGAAGCAUGAUGCGGGCACGCAGCGUCCGGUAUGACGGCCUUCGGGUUGUAACCCGCUUUCGUCUGAUCCGAAGCGAGCAUGACGGUACUGGGUAAAGAAGCACCGGCUAACUACGUG